rnacentral:rRNA from 1 species
ACGGGAGGCAGCAGUGAGGAGUAUUGGUCAAUGGGCGCGAGCCUGAACCAGCCAAGUAGCGUGCAGGAUGACGGCCCUCCGGGUUGUAAACUGCUUUUAGUUGGGAAUAAAAGAGCGUACGUGUACGCUGUAUUGUAUGUACCAUCAGAAAAAGGACCGGCUAAUUCCGUGCCAGCAGCCGCGGUAAUACGGAAGGUCCGGGCGUUAUCCGGAUUUAUUGGGUUUAAAGGGUGCGCAGGCGGCCCGUUAAGUCAGCGGUGAAAUGUCGGGGCUCAACCCGGGCACUGCCGUUGAAACUGGGGGGCUUGAGUACGGAUGAGGUCGGCGGAAUGUGACGUGCAGCGGUGAAAUGCAUAGAUAUGUCACAGAACACCGAUUGCGAAGGCAGCCGGCCAAUCCGCAACUGACGCUCAUGCACGAAAGCGUGGGGAUCGAACAGGAUUAGAUACCCUGGU